GAUGAAGAACGUAGCGAAAUGCGAUACUUGGUGUGAAUUGCAGAAUCCCGUGAACCAUCGAGUCUUUGAACGCAAGUUGCGCCCGAAGCCAUUAGGCCGAGGGCACGCCUGCCUGGGCGUCACACGUCGUUGCCCCCCCCAUCUACUCCUUCGGGAUUGCGGGGGGCGGAUGAUGGCAUCCCGUGCGCCUCGCCGCGCGGUUGGCAUAAAUGCCAAGUCCUCGGCGACGCACGCCACGACAAUCGGUGGUUGCGAAACCUCGGUUGCCCGUCGUGUGCGGUCGUCGCGCAUCGAGGGCUCGAAAAAAUUGCCGGGCUUCGGCUCGACUUUCAACGCGACCCCAGGUCAGGCGGGGUUACCCGCUGAAUUUAAGCAUAUCAAUAAGCGGAGGA
rnacentral:misc_RNA from 1 species